rnacentral:rRNA from 1 species
GUGGGGAAUAUUGCGCAAUGGGCGAAAGCCUGACGCAGCGACGCCGCGUGAGGGAUGAAGGUUUUCGGAUCGUAAACCUCUGUCAGAAGGGAAGAAACUACAUUGUGCUAAUCAGCAGUGUACUGACGGUACCUUCAAAGGAAGCACCGGCUAACUCCGUGCCAGCAGCCGCGGUAAUACGGAGGGUGCAAGCGUUAAUCGGAAUUACUGGGCGUAAAGCGCACGUAGGCUGUAGUGUAAGUCAGGGGUGAAAUCCCACGGCUCAACCGUGGAACUGCCUUUGAUACUGCACAACUUGAAUCCGGGAGAGGGUGGCGGAAUUCCAGGUGUAGGAGUGAAAUCCGUAGAUAUCUGGAGGAACAUCAGUGGCGAAGGCGACACCCUGGACCGAUACUGACACUGAGGUGCGAAAGCGUGGGUAGCGAACAGGAUUAGAUACCCCUGUAGUCC